UGCAAGGGACCUCCUCGAUCGUCGCUACCAACAUGCCACGGCAUGUUUUAUUCACACUAAAGUCAGACAUAUCUCCCCUCGCCGCUGCCCAGAUCCAUGAGCCGCCCGCCGGCCUCAAAGACAUCAGCAUCAGCUCAGUGUGUCUGCCCGCUCAGUCUCCUUGACCUGCACAUCCCUGCAGAGGAGAGCGACACCACUUUUUAAUGGAAGUGCAGAGCUGGAGAAGCUGCAGAUGCUCCAACUGCUGCCUCACUGAGGUUUUUACAUCAUAAACAAUGUUUACCUGGACUGACCGUUAUCGUGAAGACGGUGUUUCCACAUCAGAGUAUUUCACCCUUAUCUGACAGCCCGAUCACCUCCACUCAUUAUCUCGUGGCACGGUCCGAGAGGCAGCUUUGGUCACGCGUUACCGACCCGCCAUGGCCACGUCAUGCGGGGAUGACAAGACUUUGAUGAACCAUUUGUUACCCUACGGGACUCAUGUCUCUUCACCUUUCUGAAAGUACUUGAUUUAUUAUUAAUUUGUGUUCCCGCCGGGGCUGAACCCUCAUUAGCAGGAAGGUCCCAGGUUCAAUUCCUAGACUUUUCUAUGCAGGUUUGAUCAUUCAGCUGGAUACUGUUUUCAGCAAAUACAACUAUGUCCUCCUCCUCCACCUCUGAAACAGGUUAAACAACAAGGACUCCGACUUCUGUUUUCACCAACAAUAAUAUCUUGCAUCAUCUCAUCUCUUCUUAGUAUGCAUCUCGUAAAAAUGAUCCCUCACCUCCGAGUGGUGAAACGUCCAGCGUCCAGAUGGUCCGCCAUGGCAGCCUCUUCAUCCUUGGAAGCAUCGUUCGGUGCUAAAAUGGGCUGUUACCAACGCUGUUGCAUUCUUUCUAUUAGCAAGGAAUAUGGGCACUUUUAUUAACCCAAAACCUAAAAGAAUAGAAUGUAUUAUGGUGUUAUUUCACUCAUAUAGUCGUAUAAAAACAACCCUCCUGACCAGCCUACGGAUAGUAUUUGUUUUGUUUUGCACCAAAGACUUCCAUCACAGCAUUACAUCAAAGACAAAAAGUCAUGUUUAUUAUGUUUUAACCUGACCUUUAACAUCACCUUCCACCUACUUUAUGAUAAAUUUAGAUAAACCGCUGCUAUAUUUAUUCAUGACAUUUAAGUCCACACCUCCAGACACCAUCAGGUAUGGACAUCACAACAGUUACAUAGAUGCAUAUAGAUAUUAUCUAAUCAGAUGAAAAUUCACUCCUCUGAACAGCAAAGAAAACACAAGAGUGGAAAGAAUUGAUGAGUGUAGAGAUGAACUAUCAAAAUAUUAGAAAAAAAUAACUAUAUUGUUUAUAAAUUAGCUAUUUUGUGUCACCAUUAAACAUAAUGCUGCCUUGUUUAUGUUUUCCUUCAGUGUCUGUAGGCGGUGUUGUAAAAGGAGAUGCCCCUAGUAUUUAGUUGGCUUUAACUACACACCACACACCAUAUGACAACCUCAUUUAAAUACCCUUAAAGCACUCAUUUAUGUCUAACAUGCCUCAUUUUAUGGAUUGUGGAUGCUGCAAUGCCCUUUAGACCCAACAAGGAGCCUCCUGGGAGUCUCAGAAUCGGCUCCUGUCCAAGUUUAGUAAAUAUAGCCUGAAAACAGAUGUCACUGCUCAGAUGGCAAUCAGGAGGAAGGACAGUGGGCCCAGUGGAGCGAUCCUGGCCGACAGAGGUCAUGUUCUGCGGUGGGAGAGUAACUGAGCACAUCAUUGAGCGCUCAACUUGACCCUCGUUGAGUUAUUGUGUGAGGUGGUCUGGUCUGUUGGGAGGCCCUACUUAGAUCACUUACAUCCCACGCUACCUGUGGUGCUCCAGAGACUGUCCUGAGAGAGUAGUUUGUGUUUGUAGGUGUGCCAUCUAUGGGUGUUAAUAACACUAUCAAGGGAGAGCUUCAAAGAGAAAACAUUUUUGCUUCAACUGAAGUCAAUUUUGUGUUUUUUUUCAUGCUAAAUUCAUAAAAAAUUGAGUUGCUUUACAUCAAGUGUUUUCCUUUUUUUUUCUCUCCUUGUGUGAAGUGUUCCCAUCAUUCACUCAAGGCUUACUUAACCAGCAGAGUGGAGAUGAAAGCUUGAGCAUUCGAGUACCCCCAAGAUCCUUUGAUGCCCAACCAUGAAGUAUGUCUUAGAGCUUUUAGCAUUCCUGACUCUGGAAAUCAGUCAGAAAGAUUUUUUUUGUCUCUGAGAGCAGGAGGUCCUCACGGUGGACGGUUUUCCUCAAUUGAAUGUAUGUUGUUAGACUGUUGAACCGAAAUGCACUGAGUCAGGUACUGCAAGGCCACAGUCUGUCUAAUCUUACCAUGCAACUGCUGGAUAUCUGUUGAGCAACAGCAAAACCGUUGUAGAGCGUUGUGGGUGAAAUAGAUGCAGAGCGGCUUGUUUGUGAUAGUGUGCAGCAGUUGUGCAUUGUUUGUUCCAGAUACAGUGCAGAACCCCCUAUCGUUUCUCUUCUAUUUUGAGCACAGCUGUCUAUUAGCUGAGUGCCUGUAAGCCAGUUUUUCUGCGCUCAGCUUUUUGUCAACUCUGCGGAGAUUUGGGUAAUGGCUUCCGCUCAGCUUAAGGAACAGCUCUAAGUGUGCAGACAGACUUCAUCUCCUUUCCUCAACGGACUUUCCUCAUCAAAAGGCCGAGUCCCAGAGGCCGCUCUCCGCUGCCUGCACGGGCCCUCCUAGUCUCAGCUGUUCGGACUCUGGAGAGCAUAGGGCCCACUCAGCUGUCUGUUCCCGUCCUGAACCCCCACCCCUCUGCUAACCACCGACAGUAUAACCCCCUCUAGAAUUGACAGCAUCUGUCAUUGUCACUCAUUCAGCAGCUUUCUGAUGUUUGACCUUUUGAGACGAGAAUGUGCUAGAACUGUAAGUACUGUUUGUUUUAUCAUUAUUCUCCUUUGUUCUGCUGCUACAGGGGAAUAUUACUGCUUGACAAAGCUGUAAAUAUCCUCUUUCAACCUCUUGUGAACGGUAUGUGACUUAAAGUAGAGCAAUAUAUCAUACAUAAGAGUGCAUGAGCAGAUAGAUAAAUUACCUGCAGCAUCACUUCUCAUUGACCUUUCCUUUCAGAUUGAAAUAAAGAAACGGGCAGAAUGAGCCAGAAGCUUCAUGACGCAUAAGAUCACGCCUUCACUCUUUUUAUUAGAGGCACUCACUGAUCCGCGGGCUCCGUUCCCCUUGCGGGGGAAGUCGUUUGUCAAAGACAGAUCCCUUCAGGAGCUCUGCUGGAUUUAGGGGUUUCCUCCGCUGUUCAUGGGGCACAUUUCCCAGAAUUACACUCAUUCAUGAUGAGUGAAAGCAUCCAGAGGAGAAAAAGAGGUGCCUCUCGCCUCCAUUCAGCAGCCCAGGCCCCUAAUCUCUGCUGGGACAGCCCACAAUGAGAAAGGAAGGCCGGCACUCACAUCAAGCACCGGCCUCUGUAAUAAAGGCACAAUGACAAUAGAUAACAUUUCAUGGUAUAACAUGGACUGCCUCAUCUGUGUGUGCUGCUAGAAACUUUUAAAACACUUCAAAUACCUCAGAUGUUUUUAAACCACAUUCCUUUGACACACAGGAGUAAUUAUUAGUUUCAUUAUAAUGACUGCAUGUGUCAUUCAUGGCAGAUUUAUGAGUCUAGUUUUUAAUGGUUCACAUUCGUGUUACUCUUCCGCCACAAAGUGCACUAAUAAAAGCAUACAGUCAGCGUAUGUAUGCCAGAAAGUGAAGCACAAAUAGGUGUGUGGUUCCAAACAAAAGAUACGUAGAUGAAGAUAAUGUAUCAUCGCCAAAAUAUAAUCAUUUAACCCCAAACAUUUUCCACUUAUGUACCUUUAAGGUUAUUAAAAUCAUAUUAUAACAGCACUGUACACAUUCUGUAUCAGCUUGUUCCAGCAGCUCUUAAGUGAAGCUAUUUCAUGUUUCCACAUAUUCAAAUCCAUGAAGCAUUUUGUAUCUUUUCAACAUUUGGGAUCUCUACUAGAGUUUGAAACAAAGAUAUUUUACACUCGGCUGCACAACAUGUUACAAGUUUGUAAAGAUUGACACGUCAGUGGGCCACAGCUUGGUGAGAGAGUUGUUAAUGAACUAAGAGAAGCAGCUGGAUUUUAUCCUUAGAGAUGCAAUUUUAGAGGCAGUAGGGGUUUUAUAAAAGUUUUACUAGCUGAAGAAGUAGAGUAGAGAGUUUUCUCAGCCAAUAAAGUUUGGUAAUUUCAUAAUUUCCUGCAGUUUCCUUUAAAUAUUCAUUCAUUUAUUAAUGUAAACUUUGUUUGCAUGCUAGCUUGUUUACAAAUGUUACAUUUUUGCAUGUUCAGCUCAGCUGCCGACUUUUUGGUUAUGCUACCAAUUAUUUGAAUUUGAAUUAAUUAAUUGGAGGUUGACAGAUCGGACACACUCUCUAUUAAUUAUAAGCAAAUUACAAAGCUUGUUUACAAACAACGUUGAGGAAAAAAUUAGGAAUUUACUCAUUAUUAAUUAAUCUUAACUUAA